GAUGAACGCUGGCGGCGUGCCUAAUACAUGCAAGUCGAGCGAACAGACGAGGAGCUUGCUCCUCUGACGUUAGCGGCUGACGGGUGAGUAACACGUGGAUAACCUACCUCUAAGACUGGGAUAACUUCGGGAAACCGGAGCUAAUACCGGAUAAUAUAUUGUACCGCAUGGUUCAAUAGUGAAAGACGGUUUUGCUGUCUCUUAUAGAUGGAUUCGCGCCGCAUUAGCUAGUUGGUAAGGUAACGGCUUACCAAGGCAACGAUGCGUAGCCGACCUGAGAGGGUGAUCGGCCACACUGGAACUGAGACACGGUCCAGACUCCUACGGGAGGCAGCAGUGGGGAAUCUUCCGCAAUGGGCGAAAGCCUGACGGAGCAACGCCGCGUGAGUGAUGAAGGUCUUCGGAUCGUAAAACUCUGUUAUUAGGGAAGAACAAAUGUGUAAGUAACUAUGCACGUCUUGACGGUACCUAAUCAGAAAGCCACGGCUAACUACGUG
rnacentral:rRNA from 1 species